rnacentral:rRNA from 1 species
GUUAGGAAUAUUGGACAAUGGGCGCAAGCCUGAUCCAGCCAUGCCGCGUGAGUGAUGAAGGCCUUCGGGUUGUAAAGCUCUUUAGUCCACGAAUAUAAUGACUGUAGUGGAAGAAUAAGCCCCGGCUAACUUCGUGCCAGCAGCCGCGGUAAUACGAAGGGGGCGAGCGUUAUUCGGAAUCACUGGGCGUAAAGCGUGCGUAGGCUGUUUUGUAAGUCAGAAGUGAAAGCCCAGGGCUUAACCCUGGAAUUGCUUUUGAAACUACAAGACUCGAAUUCGGGAGAGGAUAGCGGAAUUGUCAGUGUAGCAGUGAAAUGCGUAGAUAUUGACAGGAACACCAGUGGCGCAAGCGGCUCACUGGUCCGGUACUGACGCUGAGGUGCGAAAGCGUGGGGAGCAAACAGGAUUAGAAACCCUUGUAGUCC